rnacentral:rRNA from 1 species
CGGGUCCUACGGGACGCAGCAGUAGGGAAUUUUCGUCAAUGGGCGCAAGCCUGAACGAGCGAUGCCGCGUGAGUGAAGAAGGCCUUCGGGUCGUAAAGCUCUGUUGCGGGGGAAAAAAGGCAGCAUCAGGAAAUGGGUGCUGACUGAUGGUGCCCCGCCAGAAAGUCACGGCUAACUACGUGCCAGCAGCCGCGGUAAUACGUAGGCGGCGAGCGUUAUCCGGAAUGAUUGGGCGUAAAGGGUGCGCAGGCGGUUCUGCAAGUUUGGAGUGAAACGCAUGAGCUCCACUCCUG